rnacentral:rRNA from 1 species
CCAUUGUAACACGUGUGUAGCCCCGGACGUAAGGGCCGUGCUGAUUUGACGUCAUCCCCACCUUCCUCACAUCUUACGAUGGCAGUCUUGUCAGAGUCCUCAGCGGAACCUGUUAGUAACUGACAACAAGGGUUGCGCUCGUUAUGGCACUUAAGCCGACACCUCACGGCACGAGCUGACGACAACCAUGCAGCACCUUCACAGAUGCCUUGCGGCUUACGGCUUUCACCGUAAUUCAUCUGCAAUUUAAGCCCGGGUAAGGUUCCUCGCGUAUCAUCGAAUUAAACCACAUGUUCCUCCGCUUGUGCGGGCCCCCGUCAAUUCCUUUGAGUUUCACCGUUGCCGGCGUACUCCCCAGGUGGAAUACUUAACGCUUUCGCUUGGCCGCUUGCAGUAUAUCGCAAACAGCGAGUAUUCAUCGUUUACCGUGUGGACUACCAGGGUAUCUAAUCCUGUUUGAUACCCACACUUUCGAGCCUCAAUGUCAGUUGCAGCUUAGCAGGCUGCCUUCGCAAUCGGAGUUCUUCGUGAUAUCUAAGCAUUUCACCGCUACACCACGAAUUCCGCCUGCCUCAACUGCACUCAAGAUAUCCAGUAUCAACUGCNAAUUUUACGGUUGAGCCGCAAACUUUCACAACUGACUUAAACAUCCAUCUACGCUCCCUUUAAACCCAAUAAAUCCGGAUAACGCUCGGAUCCUCCGUAUUACCGCGGCUGCUGGCACGGAGUUAGCCGAUCCUUAUUCAUAAAGUACAUGCAAACGGGUAUCCAUACCCGACUUUAUUCCUUUAUAAAAGAAGUUUACAACCCAUAGGGCAGUCAUCCUUCACGCUACUUGGCUGGUUCAGGCUCUCGCCCAUUGACCAAUAUUCCUCACUGCUGCCUCCCGUAGGAGUUUGGACCGUGUCUCAGUUCCAAUGUGGGGGACCUUCCUCUCAGAACCCCUAUCCAUCGAAGACUAGGUGGGCCGUUACCCCGCCUACUAUCUAAUGGAACGCAUCCCCAUCGUCUACCGG